UACGGAGGGUGCAAGCGUUAAUCGGAAUUACUGGGCGUAAAGCGCACGCAGGCGGUUUUUUAAGUCAGAUGUGAAAUCCCCGGGCUCAACCUGGGAACUGCAUUUGAUACUGGAAAGCUGGAGUCUCGUAGAGGGGGAUAGAAUUCCAUGUGUAGCGGUGAAAUGCGUAGAGAUCUGGAGGAAUACCGAUGGCGAAGGCGGCCCCCUGGACCAAGACUGACGCUCAGGUGCGAAAGCGUGGGGAGCAAACAGG
rnacentral:rRNA from 1 species